rnacentral:rRNA from 1 species
GUGAGGAAUAUUGGUCAAUGGGCGAAAGCCUGAACCAGCCAUGUCGCGUGAAGGAUGAAGGUCCUAUGGAUUGUAAACUUCUUUUGCAGGAGGGUAAAGUGAGCUACGUGUAGUUCAUUGCAAGUACCCUGCGAAUAAGCAUCGGCUAACUCCGUGCCAGCAGCCGCGGUAAUACGGAGGAUGCGAGCGUUAUCCGGAUUUAUUGGGUUUAAAGGGUGCGUAGGCGGACUAAUUAGUCAGCGGUGAAAUUUUGCGGCUCAACCGUAAAACUGCCGUUGAAACUGUUAGUCUUGAGUGCGGUAGAGAUAGGCGGAAUGUGUGGUGUAGCGGUGAAAUGCUUAGAUAUCACACAGAACACCGAUUGCGUAGGCAGCUUACUGGAGCGCAACUGACGCUGAGGCACGAAAGCGUGGGGAUCGAACAGGAUUAGAAACCCUUGUAGUCC